rnacentral:rRNA from 1 species
ACCGGCAGCUCUAGUGGUAGCUGUUUUUAUUGGGCCUAAAGCGUUCGUAGCCGGUUUGAUAAGUCUCUGGUGAAAUCCUGUAGCUUAACUGUGGGAAUUGCUGGGGAUACUGUUGGACUUGAGGUCGGGAGAGGUUAGCGGUACUCCCAGGGUAGAGGUGAAAUUCUGUAAUCCUGGGAGGACCACCUGUUGCGAAGGCGGCUAACUGGAACGAACCUGACGGUGAGGGACGAAAGCUAGGGGCGCGAACCG